CCCUUAGAUGCUCUGGGCCGCACGCGCGCUACACUGGUCGAUGCAACGAGUUUCUUUCCUUGGCCGACAGGCCUGGGCAAUCUUUGAACAUCGAUCGUGAUCGGGAUAGAUUCUUGUAAUUUUUGAUCUUAAACGAGGAAUUCCUAGUAAACGCAAGUCAUCAGCUUGCAUUGAUUACGUCCCUGCCCUUUGUACACACCGCCCGUCGCACCUACCGAUUGAAUGGUCUGGUGAAAUCUCCGGACUGGCGUGAGUCGGAGCAAUCUGACAAACACCGGAAAGUUGAUUAAACCUUACCAUUUAGAGGAAGGUGAAGUCGUAACA
rnacentral:rRNA from 1 species